rnacentral:snoRNA from 1 species
CCCUCCUACAAAGGCAUGUCUGUGGUUUCCUGUCCUUGGACACGUAAGAAUUGGAGACAAAGAGAUGUGGAUUUGGAGAAGUCUGGAGCCAGCUUGCUCCCCAAAGGCUCAAGAUCACCCUUUCCCACACAG